GGUUUCGGUUCUCCUCUACAAAUACCCACGUACGUGCCCCGGGUUCUUCAGCCACGUCCACAGUCGCACAAGCACUCUUCUAGUUCUAGCCAACCCGUACGUGCAAGCACCUCUGCACCAUCGGGUUUUCAGCAGCCAUGGCGCCGAAGGCCUCCCUCCUCGUGGGGCUCAGCCUGGUCCUCGUCUUCACCGUGGCCAACGCGGUGCGGCGACAGCUGCCCGACGCCGACUCCGGCGACCCCGACGCCGACGCCGUCCCACAGCAAGUGCCCCAAGAACGCGCUGAAGCUCGCUGCGUGCGCCGACGUCCUGGGCCUCGUCAGCGCCGAGGUCGGCCAGCCGCCGGCCGAGCCGUGCUGCAGCAUCCUCGGCGGCCUCGCCGACCUCGAGGCCGCCGUCUGCCUCUGCACGGCCAUCAAGGCCAACGUGCUCGGCAUCAGCCUCGACAUCCCCGUCAAGCUCAGCCUCCUCGUCAACUACUGCGGCAAGAACCUCCCAAGUGGCUUCAUUUGCGCUUGA
rnacentral:rRNA from 1 species